AAAAAUGGUAAAACUAGUGGAAAAUUCAUUUCAUGGAGGUCUGUAACAAUUUACCUGAUUCUCAGCUAGACCCAUUUGAAUGACACCAUCAGGCCUGUCAAUAGCGUGAAAUGGAUUGACCUCAUAUGCCUUCCAUCCAUCAAAAUAAGGUGAG